GACGAACGCUGGCGGCGUGCUUAACACAUGCAAGUCGAACGGAAAGGCCCCUUCGGGGGUACUCGAGUGGCGAACAGGUGAGUAACACGUGAGUAACCUGCCCUUGACUUCGGGAUACCUUAGGAAACUGGGGCUAAUACCGGAUAGGAAUCCUUGCUGCAUGGUGGGGGUUGGAAAGCUUCGGCGGUUUUGGAUGGACUCGCGGCUUAUCAGCUUGUUGGUGGGGUAGUGGCUUACCAAGGCUUUGACGGGUAGCCGGCCUGAGAGGGCGACCGGCCACAUUGGGACUGAGAUACGGCCCAGACUCCUACGGGAGGCAGCAGUGGGGAAUAUUGCACAAUGGGCGGAAGCCUGAUGCAGCAACGCCGCGGGCGGGAUGACGGCCUUCGGGUUGUAAACCGCUUUCAGCAGGGGCGAAGCUUGUGGUGACGGUACCUGCAGAAGAAGCACCGGCUAACUACGUG
rnacentral:rRNA from 1 species